CUUUUGUGUCUUUUUUCUUCUUUUGGCCCAACAGAUUCUGAUGGUGUUAUCUGCUUGGUGGAGCCCCUUCACACCACAACAGACCUUGUAACUGAUGAAGAGGAUGAAACUGUGUCUGCUGCCUUUACAGAGGGGGAUCCAGAAAGGCAUACAGAGAGCAUGGCUGGACAGCAGCAGGAUGCUUCCUCAACUUCCACUGCACAGAUUGACUCAGUAAGAUGGAUGUUCAGUAAACACCAGAGGUUCAGUCCAUGGAAUUCAUGUGCAACUGUAUCAUUUAAUGUCCUCUAUGUAUUCCCAGUUACC